CCUACGGGCGGCAGCAGUGAGGAAUAUUGGUCAAUGGACGAGAGUCUGAACCAGCCAAGUAGCGUGAAGGAUGACUGCCCUAUGGGUUGUAAACUUCUUUUAUAAAGGAAUAAAACGAGGCACGUGUGCCUUUUUUCUUUUACUUUAUUUAUUAGGAUCGGCUAACUCCGUGCCAGCAGCCGCGGUAAUACGGAGGAUCCGAGCGUUAUCCGGAUUUAUUGGGUUUAAAGGGAGCGUAGAUGGGUUGUUAAGUCAGUUGUGAAAGUUUGCGGCUCAACCGUAAAAUUGCAAUUGAUACUGGCAGUCUUGAGUACAGUUGAGGUAGGCGGAAUUCGUGGUGUAGCGGUGAAAUGCUUAGAUAUCACGAAGAACCCCGAUUGCGAAGGCAGCUUACUAAACUGUGACUGACAUUGAUGCUCGAAAGUGUGGGUAUCAAACAGGAUUAGAUACCCUAGUAGUC
rnacentral:rRNA from 1 species